GACAGAGGGUGCGAACGUUGUUCGGAAUUACUGGGCGUAAAGCGCGUGUAGGCGGCAGCGCAAGUCGGGCGUGAAAUCCCACGGCUCAACCGUGGAAGUGCACUCGAAACUGCGCAGCUAGAGUCCUGAGAGGAAGGUGGAAUGCUUGGUGUAGAGGUGAAAUUCGUAGAUAUCGAGAGGAACAUCGGUGGCGAAGGCGGCCUUCUGGACGAUGACUGACGCUGAGACGCGAAAGCGUGGGGAGCAAACAGG
rnacentral:rRNA from 1 species